UACGAAGGGGGCUAGCGUUGUUCGGAAUUACUGGGCGUAAAGCGCACGUAGGCGGUUUUCCAAGUUGGAGGUGAAAUCCCCGGGCUUAACCUGGGAACGGCCCCCAAAACUGGAAGGCUAGAGUCCGAGAGAGGUGAGUGGAAUUUCCAGUGUAGAGGUGAAAUUCGUAGAUAUUGGAAAGAACACCAGUGGCGAAGGCGGCUCACUGGCUCGGUACUGACGCUGAGGAGCGACAGCGUGGGGAGCAAACAGG
rnacentral:rRNA from 1 species